rnacentral:lncRNA from 1 species
ACUACCAAUGCAAGAGAAUCUCGCCAUUUUAGCAGAGAGAAGAGCCAAAUCUCAGUUGUACACCAGUGUAGUAGUAAAACCCACUUCUCCCAAUCUCAGUCCGUCCUGACCACGCCUGCAAUCCCUUUUCAAAAAGUCUGCUUCUGGGGCGCCUUGGGUGGCUCAGCGGUGGAAGGUCUGCCUUUGGCUCAGGGCCUGAUCCCAAGGGUCCUGGGAUCCAGACCCACAUCGGGCUCCCCACGUGGAGCCUACUUCUUCCCCUGCCUGUGUCUCUGCCUCUCUCUCUCUCUCUCUGUGUGUGUGUCUCUCUGUCUGUCUCUCUCUUUCUCUGUCUCUGCCUCACUGUGUCUCUGUGUCUGUCUCUCUGUCUCUGUCUCUCUUUAUCUCUCUGCCCCUUUUCUCUGUCUCUUUGUCUCUCUCUCCCCUUCUCUCUGUCUCUCUCUCUUUCUCUGUCUCUGCCUCUCUCUGUGUCUGUCUCUCUGUGUCUCUCUGCCUCUCUUUUCUCUGUCUCUCUCUCUUUGUCUCUCUCUCCCCUUCUCUCUGUCUCUGUCUCUGCCUCUGUUUAUCUCUCUGCCUCUCUUUUCUCUGUGUCUCUCUCCCCUUCUGUCUCUGUCUCUCUCUAUCUCUCUGUGUCUCUGUCUCUGUGCCUCUGUCUCUCUUUGUCUCUCUCUUUCUCUGUCUUUCUCUCUGUCUCUCUCUGUCUCUGUUACUCUCUCUCCUUCUCUCUGUCUCUCUCCCAUGAAUACAUAAAUAAAAUCCAAAAAAAUAAAAAACAGAAAACAAAAAACA